UACGUAGGGUGCAAGCGUUAAUCGGAAUUACUGGGCGUAAAGCGUGCGCAGGCGGUUGUGCAAGACAGAUGUGAAAUCCCCGGGCUCAACCUGGGAACUGCAUUUGUGACUGCACGGCUGGAGUGCGGCAGAGGGGAUGGAAUUCCGCGUGUAGCAGUGAAAUGCGUAGAUAUGCGGAGGAACACCGAUGGCGAAGGCAAUCCCCUGGGCCUGCACUGACGCUCAUGCACGAAAGCGUGGGGAGCAAACAGG
rnacentral:rRNA from 1 species